GUCUGCGUGGAGCCAACCUUGAAAUACCACCCUUUAAUGUUUGAUGUUCUAACGUUGGCCCCUGACCGGGGUUGCGGACAGUGUCUGGUGGGUAGUUUGACUGGGGCGGUCUCCUCCCAAAGCGUAACGGAGGAGCACGAAGGUUAGCUAAUCCUGGUCGGACAUCAGGAGGUUAGUGCAAUGGCAUAAGCUAGCUUGACUGCGAGCGUGACGGCGCGAGCAGGUGCG
rnacentral:rRNA from 1 species